rnacentral:rRNA from 1 species
UCGAGGAUCUUCGGCAAUGGGCGAAAGCCUGACCGAGCGACGCCGCGUGAGCGAUGAAGGCCAUUAGGUUGUAAAGCUCUGUCGAGGGGGAACAAGCCGCAAGGUUGAGUGAUCCCUGGAGGAAGCACGGGCUAAGUUCGUGCCAGCAGCCGCGGUAAGACGAACCGUGCGAACGUUGUUCGGAAUCAUUGGGCUUAAAGGGCGCGUAGGCGGGUGUUCAAGUCCGGGGUGAAAGCCUCCAGCUCAACUGGAGAAGAGCCCCGGAUACUGUUCACCUGGAGAGAGAUAGGGGCACAUGGAACUUCCGGUGGAGCGGUGAAAUGCGUAGAGAUCGGAAGGAACGCCGGUGGCGAAAGCGAUGUGCUGGAUCUUUUCUGACGCUGAGGCGCGAAAGCUAGGGGAGCAAACGGG